rnacentral:rRNA from 1 species
CCGGGAAGAUCCUACCGAAGUGGGGCCAACCCGCGCGAGGGACCUACUCGCCAGGUCGGCGGUAGAAUACAUACGCCGUCAGACACGACCAACGCCGAAGGGAACUAGAAAACAUUCUUAGUACCUGGACGAAAAGAAAUCAAAAGAGACUCCCCAAGUAGUGGCGAGCGAACGGGGACCAGCCUAAACCCGUGGAGGUCAAACUCCCCGGGGGUCGUGGGGUCUGCGAUGUGGGACUCGAGAAGCUAGACGAACGGCAUGGAAAGGCCGGCCAUAGCGGGUGACAGCCCCGUAGUCGAAAGCGGACAGAGCCCUAGCGGAUACCCGAGUACCGCAGGACACGAGAAAUCCGGCGGGAAUCUGGGAGGACCAUCUUCCAAGGCUAAGUACUCCUGACUGACCGAUAGUGAACUAGUACCGCGAGGG